rnacentral:lncRNA from 1 species
AGCUUGACAGAGACUCUGUCAAGUGUUAGAACAGCUUGCCAAGAGGGAAAACUAAGGGAAAAGGAUGGGCUGAGCACGAAAUUACUGGGUUUUGGGAGUAAGAAAGGAAGCUUGCUUUCUGAUGUGGUUGACGCUUGUUGGGUAGAAGAGGCCCCUUUUAUAGCCGCUGGAAGCCAUCAUUUUUCAAGAAACCCUAAUGGUUUCUAUCCAAUUUGGCCAAGUCUUUCCCUUCCUUUCUCCCCUCAUCUCUUCAAUCAUCUUAUUUUGGUGAAAUCCACCCUGCCCAUUUGCACAAAAUCAGGAAUUUUUUUGGGAGCUCAAGG